GGCUCAGAUUGAACGCUGCGGCAGGCCUAACACAUGCAAGUCGAACGGUAACAGGAAGCAGCUUGCUGCUUGCUGACGAGUGGCGGACGGGUGAGUAAUGUCUGGGAAACUGCCUGAUGGCGGGGGAUAACUACUGGAAACGGUAGCUAAUACCGCAUAACGUCGCAAGACCAAAGAGGGGGACCUUCGGGCCUCUUGCCAUCGGAUGUGCCCAGAUGGGAUUAGCUAGUAGGUGGGGUAACGGCUCACCUAGGCGACGAUCCCUAGCUGGUCUGAGAGGAUGACCAGCCACACUGGAACUGAGACACGGUCCAGACUCCUACGGGAGGCAGCAGUGGGGAAUAUUGCACAAUGGGCGCAAGCCUGAUGCAGCCAUGCCCGCGUGUAUGAAGAAGGCCUUCGGGUUGUAAAGUACUUUCAGCGGGGAGGAAGGCGAUACGGUUAAUAACCGUGUCGAUUGACGUUACCCGCAGAAGAAGCACCGGCUAACUCCGUGCCAGCCGCGGC
rnacentral:rRNA from 1 species